rnacentral:lncRNA from 1 species
AGCAAUACAAAUUAUUAAAAUCAACAGAAAAAGUAUCUCAUUCAAGUUCAAUGACCACCAUAUAGUUGAUUCAAGAAUCCUCCAGUGGCAUAUUCAACUCACUUGGCGCUGGCGAGCUGAGUGCGGAUGGUCUUGGCUGCAGACACCAUGUUUUGUAGGGCUGGCUUCACCUCGGUGUACUUGCGAGUCUUGAGACCACAGUCGGGGUUCACCCACAAGAUGUUGGUCUCAAGAACUGCAAGCAUCUUGUUAACUCUGUCAGCAAUCUCUUCGGUUGAUGGUAUUCUUGGAGAGUGGAUGUCGUAGACACCAGGGCCAAUGCCAGCUCCGUAUUUCACUCCCUCCCUGAAAACUGAGAGGAGCUUCUCAUCAGAACGUGAGUU